rnacentral:rRNA from 1 species
CCAAAGGACCCAAAUACCCUGAAGGCAACAAAUCCAUCCAGAUCUUGGAAACUAAGCAGAGUCAGGCCAGGUUGGUGCUUCAGUGGGGAACCACCAAGGAAGAUCCGGUUUUGAA